UUCCAAGAUGGCCUCCGAGUUCUGUCUUAACGCGCGCGGAACAAAGCCAAUUGAACACCCUUAAGCUUAGCGGAAAGCAAGAAUUGUAUGACUGGCGUUAAGAGUGUAGGGAAACUAAGGCACCAGGAGGUCAAGUCGUUGCUGGAAGCAUCACAGCUAGUAAAUGAGGGAAACGGAGAGUCCAGCCCACACAGUGUAAGGAGAGCCUGCGCCCAGGCUGCCGCCUCCAAAAACACUGCGGGGAGUCCGUGAUGUCUUCUAAUUGCAGCACUUUCAGGGACAAGCGUUCUUUCAGGUUCCCCCUGAACAUUGAUCUCUUCUGACAUUUGCUGCGGAUCCGUCGGGUGUGCACGUGAUACUCAGAUUCUGACAGCAAUUUAGCGAAAACCACUGAAGUAGAUUCAUACAUCUGCCCUCUCUUCCCGAUGACUCCACAGGCAUAGAUGGUGCAGGACAAAAAAGUUCACUUCGUGCAGGACCUGAGGAAAACUGAAGGAACCCACCACCCACUAGAAAGGACCUAAAAGCGAAGUUGGAGUCCUGAGACCCAUGUUUUGUUGAAAAGACUCCAUAGAGUGUGGGUAAGGUGGCUCUACUGCUGAGAAAAUGGAAAUAAAUUGCCUCUUUCAGACCCUAGAGAGCUGCCCAGAAAUUCACCUUUCAUUCUGGGUUAGAAAAUCCAAA